CAGCGCCACAAGUGGCAAUCGGUUUUAUUGGGCCUAAAGCGUCCGUAGCCGGUCAUGUAAAUCUUUUGUGAAAUUGUUGGGCUCAACCUAACGAAUGGCAGGAGACACUGCAUGACUUGAGAUCGGGAGGAGUCAGAGGUAUUCAGGGGGGAGCGGUAAAAUGCAUUAAUCCCUUGAGGACCACCUAUGGCGAAGGCAUCUGACCAGAACGAAUCUGACGGUGAGGGACGAAAGCUAGGGGAGCGAACCGGAUUAGAUACCCGAGUAGUCC
rnacentral:rRNA from 1 species